UACGUAGGGUGCAAGCGUUAAUCGGAAUUACUGGGCGUAAAGCGUGCGCAGGCGGCUUUGCAAGACAGAUGUGAAAUCCCCGGGCUCAACCUGGGAACUGCAUUUGUGACUGCAUGGCUGGAGUGCGGCAGAGGGGGGAUGGAAUUCCGCGUGUAGCAGUGAAAUGCGUAGAUAUCAGGAGGAAUACCGAUGGCGAAGGCAGGUCUCUGGGCUGACACUGACGCUCAUGCACGAAAGCGUGGGGAGCAAACAGG
rnacentral:rRNA from 1 species